CCUGUUGUUAGAGAAGAAAGUGCGUGAGAGUAACUGUUCACGUUUCGACGGUAUCUAACCAGAAAGCCACGGCUAACUACGUGCCAGCAGCCGCGGUAAUACGUAGGUGGCAAGCGUUAUCCGGAUUUAGUUGGGACGUAAAGGGAACGCAGGCGGUUCUUUAAGUCUGAUGUGAAAGCCUUCGGCUUAACCGGAGUAGUGCAUUGGAAACUGGAGACUUGAGUGCAGAAGAGGAGAGUGGAACUCCAUGUGUAGCGGUGAAGUGCGUAGAUAUAUGGAAGAACACCAGUGGACGAAAGCGGCUCUCUGGUCUGUAACUGACGCUGAGGUUACGAAAGCGUGGGUAGCAAACAGGAUUAGAUACCCUGGUAG
rnacentral:rRNA from 1 species